rnacentral:tRNA from 1 species
GGGGUUGGGGCUCAGUGGCUGAGCGCUGGUCUAGCACGUUUGUGGCCUGGGUUGGAGCCCCAGCAUCACCC